CCAGGAACCUUAAAGAGACUGCUCUCCUAAAACAGCAUCUGAAAGCUGUACUGAAAGAAGGAUCUGAUACUACUGAUGAUCCAGAAUGGGACAGUGACAUGGCUUCUCUAUUUGUCCUGCUUCAUCUUCUUACUCCACAACCAGCUGGAAGAAAGCGGCCCAAGAAGAUCAGUGUUGGAGAGGCAACAGAUCAUCUGGUCAAAUUUCAUAAGGUUUG